ACCCUUCAUCGCUGUGUGCUCCCUCGGAUUGCACUCCCUCGGAUUGCACUCCCUCUACCUCCAAACAAGCAACCCUUCGCUCAAAAUUAGUUGCACUGGAGGAGGAAAAGGUGGAAAUCGCGCGAGGGGUGCUAAAUGAAUUGAAGGAAAUGCGAGUUCUAAAACAGAAAAGGUUGGAAUUCGAGAUGCUUAAAUACAAGGAAGAAAAAGAAAAUAGAACAAAUAACUGAGAACUUUGCAGAGAUUGGAUGGAGAGUUAUCGUGUGUAUUUUUUGUUAAUGAAUUUUAUAAUUUUUGUUUUUAACUGUGAUGAAAUACUUUUUUUUUAAAUGAAUUGUUUUUUUUUUGUUUAGUAUUAAGUGUGUUAUUUUUAUUUUUAAGAAAGCUUAUAGUUAGGUUAAGAUUAGUUUAUAAGUUUAGUAAUAAGAUUUUUAGUCAUGAAGACAAACUGAAGUUCCUUUUUUUGUAAACAAAACAAAGUACAAAUAAAAAAAUUAAUUGAAAAAAGUA